UGGGGAAUUUUGCACAAUGGGGGAAACCCUGAUGCAGCGACGCCGCGUGAUUUAGAAGGCCUUCGGGUUGUAAAAAUCUUUUGUAUGGGAAGAAAAUGACAGUACCAUACGAAUAAGGACCGGCUAAUUACGUGCCAGCAGCCGCGGUAAUACGUAAGGUCCGAGCGUUGUCCGGAAUCAUUGGGCGUAAAGGGUACGUAGGCGGAUAAGCAAGUUAGAAGUUAAAUCCUAUAGCUCAACUAUAGCAAGCUUUUAAAACUGCUCAUCUUGAGGUAUGGAAGGGAAAGUGGAAUUCCUAGUGUAGCGGUGAAAUGCGCAGAUAUUAGGAGGAAUACCGGUGGCGAAGGCGACUUUCUGGCCAUAAACUGACGCUGAGGUACGAAAGCGUGGGUAGCAAACAGGAUUAGAUACCCUGGUA
rnacentral:rRNA from 1 species